rnacentral:rRNA from 1 species
UACGGGGGGGGCAAGCGUUGUUCGGAAUUACUGGGCUUAAAGGGUGCGUAGGCUGCGCGGAAAGUUGGGUGUGAAAUCCCUCGGCUCAACCGAGGAACUGCGCUCAAAACUACCGUGCUCGAGGGAGACAGAGGUGAGCGGAACUUAGGGUGGAGCGGUGAAAUGCGUUGAUAUCCUAAGGAACACCCGUGGCGAAAGCGGCUCACUGGGUCUCUUCUGACGCUGAGGCACGAAAGCUAGGGUAGCGAACGGG